ensembl:rRNA 5S_rRNA 5S ribosomal RNA
ACUGUUCUGUGCAUGCCCGAUCUCGUCUGAACUUGGAAGCUAAGCAGGGUCGGGGCCUGGUUAGUACGCAGAUGGGAGAUUUCUUGGAAACUGCAAGCU